UCAGUCGUCUCCCUUACUUUUGCACAUCUGACUGAGUCGUUGAUCAGUCGUCUCCUCCGGCGAGUUCCCAUCCCAGCGGCCAGCUAUGUCCGGCGAGGCGCAUCCAAAUCUCUAGUGUCGAACGAUUCCCUUUCUUUCUCCAAGUGCCGACUCGAGUCUCACUCGACUCCUACAUUCUCUGUGUCUAUUCUCAUUUCUCAAUGGUUUAUUUUCUUUUUCCAUCAUCAGACCCUCCCUCUUCCUCGGACUCGGAGAAGACAGGGGCAGGCUAAGCAUGCUUUGUACGCUAGCUGUUUGUCUGGAAAUUUGGUGGAACAACUUUGGAAUUUUGCUUGGCUUUCUGUAAUUGCAAUGAUACAUCCAAGCCUUCUGCUGGUGGCAAUCAUGGGUUUCUUCACCAAGCUUGCAAUAAUCAUUGGAGGCCCUUUAGUUGGGAAGUUUCUGGAUUAUUUUCCAAGAGUACCUGCAUAUAAUUGCUUAAAUGUUGUCCAGGUAACUAGUUCAAUGAGUCUUAGCUUCAUGCUAUAUGAUUUAUCACU